UACGUAGGGGGCAAGCGUUGUCCGGAUUUAUUGGGCGUAAAGAGCUCGUAGGCGGUUCCGUAAGUCGGAUGUGAAAAAUCUGGGCUCAACCCAGUGGAGCACCCGAUACUGCGGUGACUCGAGUCCGGUAGGGGAGUGUGGAAUUCCUGGUGUAGCGGUGAGAUGCGCAGAUAUCAGGAGGAACACCGACGGCGAAGGCAGCACUCUGGGCCGGUACUGACGCUGAGGAGCGAAAGCAUGGGGAGCGAACAGG
rnacentral:rRNA from 1 species